GAUGAACGCUGGCGGCGUGCUUAACACAUGCAAGUCGAGCGGAGAUAAGAUAAAAGCUUGCUUUUAACUUAUCUUAGCGGCGGACGGGUGAGUAACGUGUGGGCAACCUGCCUCAUACAGAGGGAUAAUCAUGUGAAAACGUGACUAAUACCUCAUGUCAUUGCUAGAAGGCAUCUUCAGGCAAGAAAAGGAGUAAUCCGGUAUGAGAUGGGCCCCGCAUCUGAUUAGCUAGUUGGUGAGAUAAUAGCCCACCAAGGCAACGAUCAGUAGCCGACCUGAGAGGGUGAUCGGGCCACAUUGGGACUGAGACACGGGCCCAAAUCCUACGGGAGGCAGCAGUGGGGAAUAUUGCACAAUGGGGAAACCCUGAUGCAGCAACGCCGCGUGAAGGGAAGACGGUUUUCGGAUU
rnacentral:rRNA from 1 species